AGAGUUUGAUCCUGGCUCAGGACGAACGCUGGCGGCGCGACUAACACAUGCAAGUCGAACGAGCGAGAGAGAGCUUGCUUUCUCGAGCGAGUGGCGAACGGGUGAGUAACGCGUGAGGAACCUGCCUCAAAGAGGGGGACAACAGUUGGAAACGACUGCUAAUACCGCAUAAGCCCACGGGUCGGCAUCGACCAGAGGGAAAAGGAGCAAUCCGCUUCGAGAUGGCCUCGCGUCCGAUUAGCUAGUUGGUGAGGUAACGGCCCACCAAGGCGACGAUCGGUAGCCGGACUGAGAGGUUGAACGGCCACAUUGGGACUGAGACACGGCCCAGACUCCUACGGGAGGCAGCAGUGGGGAAUAUUGCACAAUGGGGGAAACCCUGAUGCAGCGACGCCGCGUGGAGGAAGAAGGUCUUCGGACUGUAAACUCCUGUUGUUGAGGAAGAUAAUGACGGUACUCAACAAGGAAGUGACGGCUAACUACGUGCCAGCAGCCGCGGUAAAACGUAGGUCACAAGCGUUGUCCGGAAUUACUGGGUGUAAAGGGAGCGCAGGCGGGAAGACAAGUUGGAAGUGAAAUCCAUGGGCUUAACCCAUGAACUGCUUUCAAAACUGUUUUUCUUGAGUAGUGCAGAGGUAGGCGGAAUUCCCGGUGUAGCGGUGGAAUGCGUAGAUAUCGGGAGGAACACCAGUGGCGAAGGCGGCCUACUGGGCACCAACUGACGCUGAGGCUCGAAAGUGUGGGUAGCAAACAGGAUUAGAUACCCUGGUAGUCCACACCGUAAACGAUGAUUACUAGGUGUUGGAGGAUUGACCCCUUCAGUGCCGCAGUUAACACAAUAAGUAAUCCACCUGGGGAGUACGACCGCAAGGUUGAAACUCAAAGGAAUUGACGGGGGCCCGCACAAGCAGUGGAGUAUGUGGUUUAAUUCGACGCAACGCGAAGAACCUUACCAAGUCUUGACAUCCGUUGACCGCUGUAGAAAUACAGUUUUCCUUCGGGACAGCGAGACAGGUGGUGCAUGGUUGUCGUCAGCUCGUGUCGUGAGAUGUUGGGUUAAGUCCCGCAACGAGCGCAACCCUUAUGGUCAGUUACUACGCAAGAGGACUCUUGCCAGACUGCCGUUGACAAAACGGAGGAAGGUGGGGAUGACGUCAAAUCAUCAUGCCCUUUAUGACUUGGGCUACACACGUACUACAAUGGCGUUAAACAAAGAGAAGCAAGACCGCGAGGUGGAGCAAAACUCAGAAACAACGUCCCAGUUCGGACUGCAGGCUGCAACUCGCCUGCACGAAGCCGGAAUUGCUAGUAAUCGUGGAUCAGCAUGCCAC
rnacentral:rRNA from 1 species